rnacentral:lncRNA from 1 species
UUGAGUGACACCACAAACACUUUACUAUGGGGUAAAAUUUUUUUACAGCAAUAUGAUAUAACCUGGUCAGUUUGUUAUUGGCAAUUUAAAGUAGAUUACAUUGAUCAAAUCAGGUUUUACAGAUCAGAAAGAGAUCCUUAGCUCUAAACAAAAGCGAUUGAAAUAGCAAUACAAAACAGGAUCUCACAUUCUCACUGAUCAGCAAAAACCUUAUUACACACUCAAAUCACCAAAUAAAAAACAAUACAAUAUAGAAUCCAUCGAUCAACAUUCAUCAAAACCUCAAUGCUCUGUGCACUCAAAUCUCACAUCUCUGUACACUCCUCCAUCCCGACAGCAUUCAACUUUACCCUGCAAGUCUGCAACUAAAACGUUAACUAGAACACUUUAUCAGUGUAAAAGACAUCGAGAAUUUUCUAAAGUCUUACCUAGCUAUGCUCAAAAUUACAAUUAUCAUCCGAUACAGUACAAUGAUCUUGUUCAUACUCUACACCUAUCUUAGCAAAAAAACCAAAUUAAACUACCCACAUAUAUGUAUGUAAUUCCUAAAUCAACCAAAAUUAAUUGUGAAUCCCUUGUACUGUUCAAGGUAACUACACAAUGUACAAACAAUUAAACAAACACAAAUAGAAUAACACAAUGUGGCAAUAACUAUCUCAAAUUGCACGAUACUAUAUCAAUUAACAUAUAUAAUAUCAAAGCACAAACACAAUUUGAUAAUCACGCAAAUUCGGACAAAAACAAAAUUAAUUAAUAUCUAACAAAAUUAAUGGAUUAAUCGCACAAUAAGAAGCCUUUUACUAUAAUUGACAUUUGGCGUACAGGGAUUAAUUCGGUAACCUCAUAAACAACAGAAAAAAUAAAAUAUAAUUAAGAUAAUUAAAAUUUGGGAUAGUCCGCUCAAGCCAUCAUCGCCGACGAUUAAAAUCAAUCGGAACAUUCUCCGGUGGCGGACAGUCUUCAUCGCGCCGAUGAAAAGAUUGAAAACG